rnacentral:tRNA from 1 species
UAGUUCAGUUGGUAGAGCAUGGUGCUUGCAAUGCUAGGGUUGUGGGUUCAAUUCCCAC